AAUCCAUGGUGAGGCCAUUCUCUGGACUAGUCAUUGAAACGCUCUCAUGCAUCACAAAAAAGCUCACCAGUGACCUAUCUAAAGGAAGAUAUCUUGUUCCUCAAUGC